rnacentral:rRNA from 1 species
UGGGGAAUAUUGGACAAUGGGCGAAAGCCUGAUCCAGCCAUGCCGCGUGUGUGAAGAAGGUCUUCGGAUUGUAAAGCACUUUAAGUUGGGAGGAAGGGCAUUAACCUAAUACGUUAGUGUUUUGACGUUACCGACAGAAUAAGCACCGGCUAACUCUGUGACAGCAGCCGCGGUAAUACAGAGGGUGCAAGCGUUAAUCGGAAUUACUGGGCGUAAAGCGCGCGUAGGUGGUUUGUUAAGUUGGAUGUGAAAUCCCCGGGCUCAACCUGGGAACUGCAUUCAAAACUGACUGACUAGAGUAUGGUAGAGGGUGGUGGAAUUUCCUGUGUAGCGGUGAAAUGCGUAGAUAUAGGAAGGAACACCAGUGGCGAAGGCGACCACCUGGACUAAUACUGACACUGAGGUGCGAAAGCGUGGGGAGCAAACA